CUACGGAGGGUCCAAGCGUUAUCCGGAAUCAUUGGGUUUAAAGGGUGCGCAGGCGGUUUAUUAAGUCAGUGGUGAAAUCUCGGGGCUCAACUCCGAAACUGCCGUUGAUACUGAUAAACUUGAGUUCAGUUGGAGUAGGCGGAAUGUGUAGUGUAGCGGUGAAAUGCUUAGAUAUUACACAGAACACCGAUAGCGAAGGCAGCUUACUAAACUGAUACUGACGCUGAGGCACGAAAGCGUGGGGAGCGAACAGGAUUAGAAACCCUAGUAGUCC
rnacentral:rRNA from 1 species